AUUGAACGCUGGCGGCAGGCCUAACACAUGCAAGUCGAGCGAGCGGCGGACGGGUGAGUAAUGUAUGGGAAUCUGCCCGAUGGAGGGGGAUAACUACUGGAAACGGUAGCUAAUACCGCAUACUAUCAGAUGAACCCAGAUGGGAUGAGCUAGUUGGUGAGGUAAGGGCUCACCAAGGCGACGAUCCCUAGCUGGUCUGAGAGGCUGAUCAGCCACACUGGGACUGAGACACGGCCCAGACUCCUACGGGAGGCAGCAGUGGGGAAUAUUGCACAAUGGGCGCAAGCCUGAUGCAGCCAUGCCGCGUGUAUGAAGAAGGCCUUCGGGUUGUAAAGUACUUUCAGUGGGGAGGCGUUACCGACAGAAGAAGCACCGGCUAACUCCGUGCCAGCAGCCGCGGUAAUAC
rnacentral:rRNA from 1 species